GUAGACACGACAACGGACCCUCAGGUGUCCCCGUAGACGUGAUAUCGGACCCUCAGGUGUCCCCGUAGACGUGAUAUCGGACCCUCAAGUGUCCCCGUAGAGACGGUAACGGACCCUCAGGUGUCCCCGUAGACGUGAUAUCGGACCCUCAAGUGUCCCCGUAGACGUGAUAUCGGACCCUCAAGUGUCCCCGUAGAGACGAUGUCGGACCCUCAAGUGUCCCCGUAGAGACGAUGUUGGACCCUCAGGUGUCCGUAGAGACGAUGUCGGACCCUCAGGCGUCCCCAUGGAGACGAUGUCGGACCCUCAGGCGUCCCCGUAGACACGACAACGGACCCUCAGGUGUCCCCGUAGACGUGAUAUCGGACCCUCAAGUGUCCCCGUAGAGACGAUGUCGGACCCUCAAGUGUCCCCGUAGAGACGACAACGGACCCUCAGGUGUCCCCGUAGAGACGAUGUCGGACCCUCAGGCGUCCCCAUGGAGACGAUGUCGGACCCUCAGGCGUCCGUAGAGACGAUGUCGGACCCUCAGGCGUCCGUAGAGACGCUGUCGGACCCUCAGGCGUCCGUAGAGACGAUGUCGGACCCUCAGGUGUCCCCGUAGAGACGAUGUCGGACCCUCAGGCGUCCCCAUGGAGACGAUGUCGGACCCUCAGGCGUCCCCGUAGAGACGAUGUCGGACCCUCAGGUGUCCGUAGAGACGAUGUCGGACCCUCAGGCGUCCCCAUGGAGACGAUGUCGGACCCUCAGGCGUCCCCGUAGAGACGCUACAGUGACGUGGAUGGUUCUUCCUCCUUCACAGAGGUCAGAGGUCAGCCUGCAGCGAAGGUGGCAGCCAUGUUCAAGGUUAACACGGAGUUAAUGGAGUCUGUAGAGCAGCAGAGGAAUGAGGAGACCUGCUGAGUCAGCUGGGGGGAGGAGGAGGAGGAGGA